UUUUUUUUAAAUAGGACAGGACAAGAACCCUCAUUCGGUUACAGAUUUUGGUGACUCUGGCGGGAGCUGUGGACUCCGAAACCAGGGCGGUGAGCCUCCGGACCCCCGCAACCCCUUAAGGCGCACCCCCGCAACCCCUUAAGGCGCACCCCAACCCUGUUUGGUCAGUAAGGAGUUUUGCGAGGCCACCGUGAUCCCUGCCCUGGGACGAGGUCCACCGGGUCCCCACCUCAGCUCCGAAACAGAAACUGGAAACUGGAUGGGAAAAGCCUCUGAAUUAAGGCAGGCUGUCAAUCUCUCUUAAUCACCUUCCUCCCCACUGGAAGAGAAAAAGAUGGUCCUAGACAGGGCCAGAGAGGAAUCCCAGAGGAGACAUUAUUCUCGAUGGACCAGAGAUGCAGUCAAUGGCAUCCUCCCCCUUCAAGACCCCACUGGGACCACAAUUGCACAGUGGAAUAAGGGGUACUUGACUCACUUUACAGAUACACGACGUGACAGACUCUUCCACAACCUGAAGUCUCUCCCUCCAUGUCAAGAUCUAGAGCACUACAGACCCAGCAAGAGAACAAACCCCCAGCACUACAAUCAAGAUCGCCAAAAAGAGAGAGUAGAUCUAUAACUCUCGCAUGAGCUGGCUGCUACUCAGGAUACCUACCUGUAGCCAGCCAAUCAGUUAAAACAUCACACUAAUAACACCAAGGUCAUGGGUUCAAUGCUUACUGAGUCAGUUAAGUUUGUUCUGCACCAAGGGUACAAACGAUAUCCUUAGUCCACUGUCAUCACAAAUGAGUGUCACUGAUCACAAGAAACAUUAGGCAAAAAUAUAUCAAUCAGUUCAAAAAAAUGCCACUACUGGAAAUCAAAAUAACAUCAUGCCCUACUAAUUACAAUGGGUAGCAAUAUCUUUAUAUAACAAUGAUAACAUUAGCAGACCAAGUAACAUUCAAGCAAAAACACAACAAAAAAAUUCUAGUGCUUUCAUAGGUUAGACAUGAGUGAACAUGGAAAAAAAAAAGUCUGAUUGGAUGUCUUCUCAGGAAAGGGCAGAGAAUUCUAAAGGAAUCCUUUAGCUAAAUUAUGUCUUAGUCUAAAAUAUUCAAAAAAGUGGACUCAUGUCCCCAAAUCCUGUCUCAAAUCUUAAGAAAUUGAUUUCCUAUGAUUUUAUCUUUGCAUACAUUUACUUUAUGCCCUAACAUGGAUUAAGAAACUGUAUAAUGCCAAGUCAUAAUAUGAUUGAUAAAAUGCAUGUCUAUGAACAAUGACACAAGGAUUUUAGAACCAUAUUCUGAGCCAUCAUUUAGCUACUUACAUUUUAUAAUACAAUCAAUUAUUAAAACACCUAAGUUGUCAGCACUAAGAAAACAAAAGCAUGCGAAAACAGAAUCAAAAUGCCAAUAGUUAACAGGGAUGUGAUCUGAUACUGCAAGAGCAAAUAGUAAGUAAAACCUAGGAAAGGAGUGAUAGCAUCUUUAUUAUUGCUGUUAAAGGAACAAAAGGUACCUAAUCACACCAGCCUCUCUUUUCAAAGAAAAUUACAAAUAUCCUAAUAGCAUCACAUGUCACAAAGUAGUUACUUUUAUUGCCUUCUAUUAAAAGCAAUUACAUGCAAGGAAACAACACAUUCCUCACACAUUGCCAGAAGCAUGUUAUCUAUUCUUAUCACAUUAAGCAAGACAUAGUCAACUCUUAGUAAGCCAUUCUAAUGGAUGGGAUAUUGUUAAGUCACAAUAGUUUUAUUUGCCACUUGAAUUCAUCACAUAUUUUGCUUAGGCACCUAUAAAAUUAAUUUAAAUUAAAAAUUACGAUCCUUAAGCCAGUAUCAACAACAGGAAAUAUGUAAUGCUGGGAGGCAGGGAGAAAGCAGACUAGUACGUUUGAUUUCUAGUAUGGCCAUGGAUAAACCAAAGGCAGACCACAUACAAGUGGAAAACUUAACCAUACUUUCACUUUUUAGACUGGUUUUAUAGUGAGAGAUGUGCUCAAAACACUGCAAACAACUAUUAUUUUACUAGGCAAAUUGAUUAAUUCAUUUGUUUAUGAUACAUUUUUAUCGGGUCCGUUUAAUAGAAACACAUUAAUACUCUACAUUUUUUUUUAUAAGCUAGGCAAGAUGGGGUAGGCAAAAAUAAGGAACUUUAAAGGGCAAGAAUUCACAUAUAAAAGGCCUAUACUCGUCCUAUGAGAUGGGGGGGGUUGAAUUAAGAUUUUUGAUAACAGAGCUUUAACACGCACAAUGACACUGCAGGAAGAGAGAGUACAGUAUAAUGUUUAAAAGCAAGGACAAUGGAUUCAAGCUUGUUCUACCGAACCCCGCUACCAUGUCUUUGCUCAUGUUAGGAAGUACAGCAAAGAGGUGAAGUGCGUUGUCUUUGGAGAAAGCAUGCUUGGGCUUUACAUCCAGCUUUUUUUUUUUUUUUCACAUUGCUCAUAUGCAAAAUGGUGAGAGUAACAGUACCUACGACAUGGGCUAGAUGACAAAAUUAAAUGACAUAAUCCAAGUAAAGCACUUAACGAAGUGCCUUAACAAAGUAAGUGUACAACAAAUAUUAACAAUUACAGUUGCUGAAAUUGUCAGUCUUAUUAGUCUGUGAUAUAUGUUCAUUUUUACAAAAUCUCAUUGUUAGUUAUUGUUUUUUCCUGAUCAUUAUUCUAUUUUACAGUUGGCUAAAUAGAGACAAUAAGAAAUCAAAUGGUUUCUUCAUGGACAAACAACAAAUCAAGAAAUAGACAUUUAUUUUAGCGUACUACUCUCUGGAGCCCUGCUGGCACAAUGGUUAACAGCUCAGCUGCAAACCAAAAAGUUGGCAGUUCGAAUCCACCGGCCGUUCCUUGGAAACCCUAUGGGGCAGUUCUGCUCUGUCCUAUAGGGUCGCUAUGAUUCGGAAUCAACUCAAUGGCAAUAAGUAUAAAGUACUACCUAAGUGAAUCAACUUUUUAAAAAUGUUAUUGACUAAAUCAACUAUAGGCCACUUUUGAAAAAAUCUAGCUUUCACAUUUGAAAUUUUUAAAGAAAAUAUCUGGAAGAAUAAAAUAUUAAAGAAAAAGAAAUGAAGCGAAUUACUAAGCCAUGUGAACUUAAAUGUGCAAAUUAACAUUAGCAGACUACUACGCUACUACAGCCAGAUUUAAAGAUGUAGUUUCUGGUACUAAUCAGUAAUAAGAGUUUUCAAGAGCUAGGGUUAGUUAUGUACCUCACUGAGUGAAUGACUAAACACACACUGAGUUUCCACUAGGGGCCCAAGUGUUGCAGUGGUUAAGACCUAGGGCUGUAACCAAAAGGUCAGCAGUUCGAAUCCACCAGCUGCUCCUUCGAAACCCUACGGGACAGUUCUACUCUGCACUAUAGGGUCGCUAUGUGUUGGAAUCAACUUGAUGGGUUUGGUUUGAAUUCUUAAUAUGUGCCUAAAUACUGGGCUAGUUAUUUGUAAGACUAUUUUAUUUGAUUUGCCUUGGUACUACACAACUAAAUAUACAUAACUGUAGUUCACUGAACAAACUUAAGCUUGUCAGAAGCUGUGGUAGAUCCUAAGAAAACAAUAGUAAACAAAAUGGAAAUAUUUCUUCCUGCUUGCAAGAAGUUCAGGGUCUAAUGGGGGGCACAAAUGAGUAAACAAAAUUAUAAUAUAUUGUGAAUAUCGCAUUCUGCAUCUAAAUGGUGACCAAAUGAAGAAUCAGUGAAAGUAUGCUCAGAGAGAAACUGCAAAGGCUUGAAAGCAACUCUCUUCCGGGGAUAAAAUAGUUCAGUCUAAGUACAGUUCAGGGUGAGUAAAGAGUUAAGCGGCAUAGUGGUUAAGAGCUACGGUUGCAAGCCAAAAGGUCGGCAGUUCAAAUCCACCAGUUGCUCCUUGGAAAUCCUAUGGGGGCAGUUCUUCUCUGUCCUAUAGGGUCGCUAUGAGUUGUAACUAACUCAACAGCAACAGGUUUGUUUUUGUUUGUUUGUUUGUUUGUUUUAAAGAUGUGGCCUUGUAAGGCAUGAAGACUUUAGAUAUCUUCCUGCAGAUAAUGGAUAGUCAGUAAAAUGUACUAAGCAUAGAAGUGCCAUGAUAAUUUACAUUUUAGAAAGAUAAUUCUGCCUAGGUUGUAGAAAACAGAUCAGAGGGAAAUAGGAAAGAAGGCAGAGAGACCAAUUAGGAUGCUUUUGAAGGCAACAAGGAGAGAGAUGUCAUAGCAAUUGUAAUUACCAAGAUGUGGUAGGCAGCUUCUGAAAUGGCUUCCGAUAAUCCUUGUCUCCUGGUAUUCAUGAUCAUGAGUAAUCCCCUUCCCUUCUGUGUGUGAGGGGCUGGACCUAUUUAUGUUCUUCUGAUGAAUACAAUCAGCAAAAGUGAUGGAAUAUCACUUUUGUGAUUAGUCUAUAAAAGACUCUGACUUUCAACUGUUUUCAUUCACUCUUCUUCUUGGCUUGUUCUCUUUGAUGAGGCCAACAAGUUGCCAUGGUGUGAAAUGCCCUAUGGAGACACCCCAGUGGCAAGGAACUGACAGCAGCCUCUGGACAACAAUCAGCACAUGAUACAGACUCUCAGUCCAAGUAUCUGAAUCCUGUCAACCAACACAUGUGUGAACUUAGGAACAAAUGACUCCCCAGUUGCACCUUCAGUUGAGACCACAUCUGGGCUAAUACCUUCCAUAUAUCCUCGUGAAGAACACUGAAACUGAGGACUUAACUGAAUUGUAGCCAGGGUCCUGAAACCAUAAGAUAAUAAAUGGGUGUUCUUUUAAAUUCCUAAGUUUAGGGGUAAUUUGCUACCUUCCAUAUAUCCUCGUGAAGAACACUGAAACUGAGGACUUAACUGAAUUGUAGCCAGGGUCCUGAAACCAUAAGAUAAUAAAUGGGUGUUCUUUUAAAUUCCUAAGUUUAGGGGUAAUUUGCUACCUUCCAUAUAUCCUUGUGAAGAACACUGAAACUGAGGACUUAACUGAAUUGUAGCCAGGGUCCUGAAACCGUAAGAUAAUAAAUGGGUGUUCUUUUAAAUUCCUAAGUUUAGGGGUAAUUUGCUACCUAGCUAUACAUUUUUUUAUAGAUAGCUAAAUAAUAAAAAAAUAAUAAUAAUAAUACCCACAAUAAAAUAAACCCAUUGCCAUUUAUUCUAUUCUGACUCAUAAAGACCCUAUAGGACAGAGUAGAACUGCCCCAUAGGGUUUCCAAGGCUGUAAAUGUUUACAGAAAUAGACUGCCACAUCUUUCUCCCACAGAGAGGCUGGUAGGUUCGAACCGAUCAGUUAGCAGCUGAGUGCUUAACCCACUGCACCACCAGGGCUCUUUUUAAAUAAUAAAAUUAAAAAAGUUAAAAUUCUUUCAACAUAAUCCUGUUGCCGUUGAUUCGAUUCAGAAUCAUGGUGACUCUACAGGACAGAGAAGAACUGCCCCAUAGGGUUUCUGACUGGAAACAGGUUCCGAUGUACAAUUAUAUUCCAAGAAGCAGCCAUUAAUAUGGAAGCAAUAUUUCUGAACUAUAAUUCUGGAUUUGUUGGGUCAUCUCACAUACAGAAUCUGAAGGGCACCUAAUAACAAAAUUUUGUUCACACAAUCUAUACACCCAUCUUACAAGACUUUAAAUAUUGUUUCAACAUAAUGAUAAUAAUAUAAAUAAGCAUAGUUUAAAAUGAGGAAAAACUAAGUGAAGGCAUAUAUUACUAAAUAAACUAUAAAAAGACAGUUAAAUGUAUUCUCAAUCAAUAAGAUGACUAAUUGACUAAAGGGAUUACUUAUAUAUAAUUCCUCAGAAAAGCCAGCAGACUUGAACUUCUCUAAAUUAAAUGCAUUUUUAUGGAGUCAGAGAAAUCUCUUGUGCUGAAUUCUUAGGCCAUACAUGAUAUAGCCGGGGGCUGCUUUUACCUGCCAUUAAUAUCCAAUGGGAACAAAAGACACCCCUUGGUCAUUUUAUAUAGCUGUGCUAAAAAUGGAACCCUGGUAGGGCAGUGGUUAAUGAGCUUGUCUGCUACCUGAAAGGUAGUCGGUUUGAACUCACCAGCCACUCCAUGGGAGAAAGAUGUGGCAGUCUGCUUCCAUAAAGAUUACAGUCUUGAAAACACUAUGGGGCAGUCUACUCUGUCCUGUAGGGUUACUAUGAGUUGCAAUCGACUCAACAGCAAUGGAUUUUUGGUGUUAAAAAUUCCCUUUGGGUUUCAAUGUAAAUAAUUUGUAUUUUCCAAUAUAAAACUAGCAAGAAUAGUUAUAACAAAUAUAAAUGAGAAUAUGUGUGAUCUGUAAAUGCUAUCAACAAAAUACCUCAUUACGGUGCUUAAUAUAUACAAUGUUUAUCAGCGGAAAUCACUGAAAUGAGGACAGUCAGACUCACUAACUCAUAGCUAAAAGUAUCAUCUUAAAAGAACACAGGGUGUACAUAAAUAGUCAUAAAAAGAAUAACCUUACCUCCUUAAGUGGAGAACAUACAACUUCUUAGCUUUAUUUUGAGCUCUGAAGAACUGUCUUCAGUGCCAUGAUAAUUAUAUUAUACAUUUUGCAAGAUAAUACAUGUGUAACUAUAUUAUAACUGUAUGAAAAAAAUGGAUGUUAGUUAUGCAGCUGAACGUAAAAAUUCCUAGGGCCAUAAAAGCCAUCAAAAGUCAUUGUAACAUUAUAGGGGAGUGACUAAUAACAAAUCUGGGUUCAAAUCCCAGCUCUGUCACUUACUAGUUAUGUAGCCAAGACAUGUUGCUUAAUCUCCCUUAGCCUCAGUUUCCUCACUUAAAAAAUAAUAAUAUUACCCAGGGUUGUGUUAGGACUAAAUGAGAUAUGGGUUUAAAAUGCUUGUCAUAGCUCUUGGGACACAUAAAGUGCUUAAUAAAUGUGCUUUUUUUAUUAUGAUGAUUGCUGUUAUUACUAUUACUAGUAGUGAUAGUAGUGACGGUGGUAGCGGAAAUGGUUGUAUCCCCUUAUCUAUAUCGAGGUAUUUUGAACCCUACUCACUUAGAAAGUUGAAGAAACCCUGUCCUCAACAUCUCUCUCUAAUUGGUGAUUCCUAUAAUGAAAAAAAAAUGGCAAUCACAAAUUCCUGGCUCCCUCUCAUACAUAAAGGAAAUGAUUUUUGGAUGCUAGAAAAUACCAAUUGGAAACUAUAUCCGUCCUUAUGUGAAACAUUUAAAAUAAUCAUAAAUGAAAAAUGGUAAAGUGAUAGGCAUAAAGAUAAUCAGUUAAUAUACAGAAACCCAAAGAACUUCAGAUAUAAUACAAAUGAUGAAAUUAUAUAUAGGUAGAACCAGUACAUUGGUUUCUAGUUCACUACCUGAAAAAUUCAGCAUUCUUGCUUUGUUCCCUUAUGUAUAAAGGUUUACACUAAAGAAUCAUGCCUGCUGAAUCACUAAAAUGACAAAUUAUUUGUUAAGACACCAGGUCUUUCAGGACACUUUAGCACCAUUUUAUAGGAGGUGUGCACUCUGAGAUUGACAUCUCAUUAUUUUUGAGCCAAUUCCAAGAAUUUCUAUAUUAUCAAGACAGAGAUGAAUUAGAUUUUACUACUCUUGUCUUUUCAUUGCUUCACAAAAUAUAGAAGACUGUAUUCAGCAAUCAAGCAAAGAUGGGUAUUUUCAAAAGAAGCCAGCUGAUUCAAAGACUAAACAACACAACUUAUAAUGCUAGAAGAAAAGUGCUUUUACAUAAAUACAUCUUCAAACUCAGUUCUACCAUAAUUUGAAGCUAUGCCCAAUAUUUCAAGCAAUUGCAGAAUGACAUUUAUAUGCAUGUGAAAUAUUUAUAACACCUGAAUUUUGUUAUUAUUAAAACUAAAUUACACUACAGAAAUAUGUUAUUGAAGAAGCUAAAUUUUAUUAACCUCUCAUGCUUAUUUCUUACAUUUCCUCCAAGCAACAUUAAAACAAAAGAAACUGCUUACAAGAAUCACACACACUAUCUAUGUUUUUCCCGAACCCUCUAGAGAACCCUAGAAAUUCUCAUUAGAAUUAGCAGUUAUAACUUACAUGUUUUAUUAUUAUUUCAUGUUUAGUUACUAUUAACCAUCAUUACUUUAAUUCUUAUAUAAUAUCACUGUUAUCUACAAUAUGGGUUCUGGGUUUUAUUAUCUAUAAUUACUGUAGUUUUUUGUUUUUUUUUUAAGGAAGUGACACUGUAUUUAUAGCCUUGAUGAUUAUACUUACCCAAAUAUCUUCAAAUUGAAUAAUAAAAGAAACUAAAACACAUACAAAUCUCGACAGUUGC